CCCUCUGUAGCUCAGUGGAUGAGCGCCCGCCUUCUAAGCGUGGAUGACGUCGGUUCGAAUCCGGCCAGAGGGA
rnacentral:tRNA from 1 species